rnacentral:rRNA from 1 species
GAUGAACGCUGGCGGCGUGCCUAAUACAUGCAAGUCGAGCGAACAGAUGAGGAGCUUGCUCUUCUGACGUUAGCGGCGGACGGGUGAGUAACACGUGGAUAACCUACCUAUAAGACUGGGAUAACUUCGGGAAACCGGAGCUAAUACCGGAUAAUAUAUUGAACCGCAGGGUUCAAUAGUGAAAGACGGCUUUGGUGUCACUUAUAGAUGGAUCCGCGCCGGAUUAGCUAGUUGGUAAGGUAACGGCUUACCAAGGCAACGAUGCGUAGCCGAGCUGAGAGGGUGAUCGGCCACACUGGAACUGAGACACGGUCCAGACUCCUACGGGAGGCAGCAGUAGGGAAUCUUCCGCAAUGGGCGAAAGCCUGACGGAGCAACGCCGCGUGAGUGAUGAAGGUCUUCGGAUCGUAAAACUCUGUUAUUAGGGAAGAACAAAUGUGUAAGUAACUAUGCACGUCUUGACGGUACCUAAUCAGAAAGCCACGGCUAACUACGUG